UUGAUGAGUCAAAGAUCCAGCGAGAGAGAGCACAGUGGUUGGGAAAGGAAAUGUAUGUUACAUUUUCCUACUGUAUAUACAUUUCCUUUCCCCUCCACUGUGCUCUCUCUCACUGGGUCUUUGACUCAUCAAGA